rnacentral:rRNA from 1 species
GACGAACGCUGGCGGCGUGCCUAAUACAUGCAAGUAGAACGCUGAAGGAGGAGCUUGCUCUUCUGGAUGAGUUGCGAACGGGUGAGUAACGCGUAGGUAACCUGCCUGGUAGCGGGGGAUAACUAUUGGAAACGAUAGCUAAUACCGCAUAACAGUAGAUGUUGCAUGACAUUUACUUAAAAGGUGCAAUUGCAUCACUACCAGAUGGACCUGCGUUGUAUUAGCUAGUUGGUGGGGUAACGGCUCACCAAGGCGACGAUACAUAGCCGACCUGAGAGGGUGAUCGGCCACACUGGGACUGAGACACGGCAGACUCCUACGGGAGGCAGCAGUAGGGAAUCUUCGGCAAUGGACGGAAGUCUGACCGAGCAACGCCGCGUGAAUGAAGAAGGUUUUCGGAUCGUAAAGCUCUGUUGUAAGAGAAGAACGAGUGUGAGAGUGGAAAGUUCACACUGUGACGGUAUCUUACCAGAAAGGGACGGCUAACUACGUG